UACGUAGGGUGCAAGCGUUGUCCGGAAUUAUUGGGCGUAAAGAGCUCGUAGGCGGUUUGUUGCGUCGGCUGUGAAAUCCCCGAGGCUCAACCUCGGGUCUGCAGUCGAUACGAGCAAACUAGAGUGUUGCAGGGGAGACUGGAAUUCCUGGUGUAGCGGUGAAAUGCGCAGAUAUCAGGAGGAACACCGGUGGCGAAGGCGGUUCUCUGGGCCUGUACUGACGCUGAGGAGCGAAAGCGUGGGGAGCGAACAGG
rnacentral:rRNA from 1 species